rnacentral:tRNA from 1 species
CAUUAGCUCAAUUGGUAGAGCAUCUGACUCUUAAUCAGAGGGUUCGGGGUUCGAUUCCCUGA